ensembl:lncRNA
CUCAGUCAUUAAAUGAAAAGGCGUCAUGCCUCAGACUAAAAGGCUUCAGUCAUUGGACAAAACGGCAUCGCGCCUCAGACUGAAAAGCUUCAGGUCUCAGGAAAAAUGACGUCAGGUGUCAGGUCUCAUACAAUUAGGCAUCAGACGAAACGGACUCAGACAAAAAGGCAUCAGACGAAACGGACUCAGACAAAAAGGCAUCAGACGAAACGGACUCAGGUGGAGUAUCGCGUUGCCCCGCCCCAGGUGACGUCACACGCACGCGGUUCAGAGGAAGUGGUAUAUAACGGUUGAUUGAUGGCAAAAGGAGUUAA